rnacentral:misc_RNA from 1 species
UGCUAUUCAUACUUCAAUUUUCUUCUCCAGUAUUAUCUAUCAGGAGGGAUGUUAGUCUUCAAAACACAUAUACCUGUAGAACUACCGUUCAAGGAAGAUAUUUGAUUGCCGAUGAUAUGGGUCAAGUCUGUGAUGCACUCUCCAUUGAUCCCCAUACUCGCUGCUGCCGUGGGAAAUCAGAGCGAUUCUCUUGCAAUGGUUGUAAUCUCGUUUCACAAUGUUGCGAUUCCUAUGAAUUUUGUGUCUCUUGCUGUUUGAAUCCGUCCAGGACACAAAAGGAUCUGGCGGUAAAUGUGAAGAUAUCUAAGCCCAUAACAGCAGGGAUGUAUUCAAGUAUUUUUGAUUUUUGUACAGGAAGAUGUCGUCAUAAUUCGGAAAGUGUGGUUCAUGAAAACGCUUAUCUCAGUGAAUUUCAUCAUUGUUUUUCUAUACCGUCUAAUUCUUCUUCUGGCGGUGGUUCUGGUGUACAAACUGAAGUGAGGUUGGCUGGUAUAAAUGUUGUGAUAGGAAGACAAGGUGAAUCGUGUGAUUCGGUGUGUAAAUCUAGUGGUCAGUCUUGUGUUCCGAACAAAUUUGUGUUGCUUAAUCAGUGUGAAACGAUGCAUAAGUACUUGAGCUGUAAAGGUGGAUGUUUGGCAAGUGUUGGAGCUGAUCAGCCUGCUGAAGUAAUUGAUGAUGCUCCCAGAGAUUUGAACCCUGGAGCCUGCUUGUACACCUCGCAAGUGUCCGUGCUAUCUUGUGAUGGUUCGCAUCAGCAUACGAAGAGGCUAUGCCCCUGCGCGUAGUGUGGUGAAUUUCCCUCCUCCAUAUUUUUUCAGA